rnacentral:piRNA from 1 species
UGGAGUUAACGCCCAACGCCUGCC